rnacentral:rRNA from 1 species
AUUGAACGCUGGCGGCAGGCCUAACACAUGCAAGUCGAGCGGAGCGGCGGACGGGUGAGUAAUGCCUAGGAAUCUGCCUGGUAGUGUGGGAUAACGUCCGGCAACGGGCGCUAAUACCGCAUACUAUCAGAUUAUCCUUGGUCGGAUUAGCUAGUUGGUGGGGUAAAGGCCUACCAAGGCUACGAGCGGUAACUGGUCGGAGAGGAUGAUCAGUCACACGGGAACUGGGACACGGUCCAAACUCCUCCGGGAGGCAGCAGUGGGGAAUAUUGGACAAGGGGCGAAAGCCUAAUGCGGCCAGGCCGCGUGUGGGAAGAAGGUCUUCGGAUUGUAAAGCACUUUAAGUUGGGAGGCGUUACCAACAGAAUAAGCACCGGCUAACUUCGUGCCAGCAGCCGCGGUAAUUC